GCCUACCAUGGUGGUAACGGGUAACGGGGUGUUAGGGCACGACACCGGAGAGGGAGCCUGAGAAACGGCUACCACAUCCAAGGAAGGCAGCAGGCGCGCAAAUUACCCAAUCCCGACACGGGGAGGUAGUGACAAUAAAUAACAAUACAGGGUUCUUUUGGAUCUUGUAAUUGGAAUGAGUACAAUUUAAAUCUCUUAACGAGGAACAAUUGGAGGGCAAGUCUGGUGCCAGCAGCCGCGGUAAUUCCAGCUCCAAUAGCGUAUAUUAAAGUUGUUGCAGUUAAAGAGCUCGUAGUUGAAUUUCGGGAUCAAGGAAUCGGUCAUGCCUUGGUAUGUACUGGUUUUAUUGGUUCUCACCUUCUAAAGAACCAUAAUGUCAUUCAUUUGAUGUUAUGGGGAAUUAGGACUGUUACCUUGAAAAAAUUAGAGUGUUUAAAGCAGGCUUACGCUUGAAUACAUUAGCAUGGAAUAAUGAAAUAGGACAUCAGAUUCUAUUUUGUUGGUUUCUAGGAUCGAUGUAAUGAUUAAUAGGGAUAGUUGGGGGCAUUAGUAUUCAAUUGUCAGAGGUGAAAUUCUUGGAUUUAUUGAAGACUAACUACUGCGAAAGCAUUUGCCAAGGAUGUUUUCAUUAAUCAAGAACGAAAGUUAGGGGAUCGAAGACGAUCAGAUACCGUCGUAGUCUUAACCAUAAACUAUGCCGACUAGGGAUCGGAUGAUGUUAAUUUUAUAAUGACUCAUUCGGCACCUUACG
rnacentral:rRNA from 1 species